rnacentral:rRNA from 1 species
CCUACGGGAGGCAGCAGUGGGGAAUAUUGGACAAUGGAGGGAACCCUGAUCCAGCGACGCCGCGUGAGUGAAGAAGUAUUUCGGUAUGUAAAGCUCUAUCAGCAGGGAAGAAAAUGACGGUACCUGACUAAGAAGCCCCGGCUAACUACGUGCCAGCAGCCGCGGUAAUACGUAGGGGGCAAGCGUUAUCCGGAUUUACUGGGUGUAAAGGGAGCGUAGACGGCAGCACAAGUCUGGAGUGAAAUGCCGGGGCUUAACCCCGGAACUGCUUUGGAAACUGUGCAGCUAGAGUGCAGGAGAGGUAAGUGGAAUUCCUAGUGUAGCGGUGAAAUGCGUAGAUAUUAGGAGGAACACCAGUGGCGAAGGCGGCUUACUGGACUGUAACUGACGUUGAGGCUCGAAAGCGUGGGGAGCAAACAGGAUUAGAUACCCGAGUAGUC